rnacentral:rRNA from 1 species
UACGUAGGGUGCAAGCGUUGUCCGGAAUUAUUGGGCGUAAAGAGCUCGUAGGCGGUUUGUUGCGUCGGCUGUGAAAUCCCGAGGCUCAACCUCGGGUCUGCAGUCGAUACGAGCAAACUAGAGUGUUGCAGGGGAGACUGGAAUUCCUGGUGUAGCGGUGAAAUGCGCAGAUAUCAGGAGGAACACCGGUGGCGGAAGGCGGCUCUCUGGGACGGUACUGGACGCUGAGACGCGAAAAGCCGUGGGGAGCGAACAGG